rnacentral:rRNA from 1 species
AAACUGGGAUUAGAUACCCCACUAUGCUCAGCCCUAAAUCUAGAUACUCAACCUACCAAAGUAUCCGCCCGAGAACUACGAGCACAAACGCUUAAAACUCUAAGGACUUGGCGGUGCCCCAAACCCACCUAGAGGAGCCUGUUCUAUAAUCGAUAACCCACGAUAAACCUGACCGCUCCUCGCCAAAGCAGCCUACAUACCGCCGUCGUCAGCUUACCUUCCCUGAAAGCACAACAGUAAGCACAACAGCCCUAACCACGCUAGCAAGACAGGUCAAGGUAUAGCCCAUGGAGCGGAAGAAAUGGGCUACAUUUUCUAAGCUAGAAAAUCUCACGGAAGGGGGUGUGAAACCGCCCCUAGAAGGCGGAUUUAGUAGUAAAGCAGGACAAUAGAGCCUUCUUUAAACUGGCCCUGGGGCACGUACAUACCGCCCGUCACCCUC